UAUCAGACUACUUUUUGCACUACUGAUAUACAUACAAACAAAUUUAGGUUUUACUUAGGUUUUAAGUUAACUGCAUUAAUAAACGUCAACCUUCCUUUAUUUCAAACACUCUAAGCCUGUGAGUCAGCGUUGAGAAUUGGAGAAUAUUGUAAUGCACAUUUAGCUGCCUUCAGUGAGGCCUUAAUUGGUAGCCACGCCUGAAGCCCGGAGAGGUUCAGGAGAAGCCCGGAGCGGUUCAGAUGAAGCCCGGAGCAGUUCAGGAGAAGCCCGGAACGGUUCAGGAGAAGACUGGAGUGGCUGGGAUUUCAUCAUAAUCGAGGCGCAAGUUGAUUUUCACAAACCUUUACAGUGCAGGAAACGAUGGAAGAAAGUUCAACAGAGCUGGACGAUAUUCAUGAGGAACCAGAGAGUGAUUCCUCGGAAUCUGAAGUAUCCAGCUGCGCAGUAUUAGACCCAGAUUACAAUCCAGAACACAGUACGUCAUCAUCCAGUGAUGUGGAAGAUUUGAGCCCAGACAAAGGUUCAUCGCAUAAGAAACAGUCCAGUAAAGAAUAUCUUGAAGGUCCAGACACAAAUUUGAGUGAUGAUGAUCAGCAAAGAGGGAAGUUCACCAUUUAAAAAAAAAAACAAAAGAAAC
ensembl:lncRNA